AUAUAACCCAUCACUUCAACCGGAAAGCAAAUGUAUCCUACUAUUAGAGUUUAUCUCGAAAUGCUUUGGGAAAUCUCAGGAGGCUGGAGGGACCCUUAGCUCAAGCCAUUUGUGGGUUGUGUUGGUCCGGCAUAGACUCCAGCCAAAAGACCAAAUAUUGCCUUUUGUUGUUUCCUGGAGGGAAGGAUAUGGACAACAAUGAUCUGGCCAUGGGGAAGAUUCAAGGGAAUAAAAAUGAAUCAUCACCGGCCACCAGGAAGCACCAGGAGCUCUCUAAAUGGAAUGGAGGCCUCCCGUGCCUUGGGCAUUGAUAAACCUUGGCUGUUGCUUCAAAUAUAAAUGAUUCUAGAACAUCAGAAUAACUAGUAACAGUAAGAUUACUCAAAUAAGCACAUAAAAUCAAAGAAGCUCCUGGUUUCUGGCACACAGCUCCUAACACCAUUGGAAUCUCUGGAGUGAAAAGAGGGUCUUUUGUAAGUGAAUGAGAUGACUGAAAGUUGGGGGCCUGUAGAUAGCCCCUUCUCCUAUACCUCGACCUACACGUCUCUUCCAUUUUUCUUGUGUCUGUAUGCUUUGUAACAUUCUCUAUAAUAAACAAGUAAGUGUAAGUG